rnacentral:rRNA from 1 species
UGGGGAAUAUUGGACAAUGGGCGAAAGCCUGAUCCAGCAAUGCCGCGUGAGUGAAGAAGGCCUUAGGGUUGUAAAGCUCUUUCGCCUGCGACGAUGAUGACGGUAGCAGGAGAAGAAGCCCCGGCUAAUUCCGUGCCAGCAGCCGCGGUAAUACGGAAGGGGCUAGCGUUGUUCGGAAUUACUGGGCGUAAAGCGCGCGUAGGCGGCUGGACAAGUGAGGCGUGAAAGUCCUGGGCUCAACCCGGGGACGGCGCUUCAGACUGUUCGGCUAGAGUCCGGAAGAGGGUGGUGGAAUUCCGAGUGUAGAGGUGAAAUUCGUAGAUAUUCGGAGGAACACCGGUGGCGAAGGCGGCCACCUGGUCCGGUACUGACGCUCAAGUGCGAAAGCGUGGGGAGCAAACAG